rnacentral:rRNA from 1 species
GGUAAGCGUAAUUUUCGUUUUUAUACGAAAUUCUCUGACGAGAAAAACGAAAAACGCGAUGAAUAAUACCUAACCUUUGUCGAUAAGAUAAAGAUUUGAGUUCUAAGGAUAAGUUGAGCGGCGGACGGGUGAGUAACGCGUGGGUAACCUGCCCUAUACACAUGGAUAACAUACUGAAAAGUUUACUAAUACAUGAUAACGUAAUUUUUCGGCAUCGAAGAAUUAUCAAAGCGUUAGCGGUAUAGGAUGGACCCGCGUCUGAUUAGCUAGUUGGUGAGAUAACUGCCCACCAAGGCGACGAUCAGUAGCCGACCUGAGAGGGUGAUCGGCCACAUUGGAACUGAGACACGGUCCAAACUCCUACGGGAGGCAGCAGUGGGGAAUAUUGCACAAUGGGCGAAAGCCUGAUGCAGCAACGCCGCGUGAACGAUGAAGGUCUUCGGAUCGUAAAGUUCUGUUGCAGGGGAAGAUAAUGACGGUACCCUGUGAGGAAGCCCCGGCUAACUACGUGCCAGCAGCCGCGGUAAUACGUAGGGGGCUAGCGUUAUCCGGAUUUACUGGGCGUAAAGGGUGCGU